rnacentral:rRNA from 1 species
UAUGUCCUAUUAGCUAGUUGGCGGGAUAAAAGCCCACCAAGGCAAUGAUAGGUAGCUGGUCUAAGAGGAUGAACAGCCACAAUGGGAUUGAGAUACGGCCCAUAUUCCUACGGGAAGCAGCAGUAGGGAAUCUUCCACAAUGGACGAAAGUCUGAUGGAGCAAUGCCAUGUGAACGACGAAGGCCAGACAGGUCGUAAAGUUCUUUUAGAGGGGAAAAAUCUGAUGGUACCCUCUGAAUAAGUGACAGCAAACUAUGUGCCAGCAGCUGCGGUAAUACAUAGGUCGCGAGCGUUAUUCGGAUUUAUUGGGCGUAAAGCAAGCGCAGGCGGAUGAAUAAGUUCUGCAUUAAAAGCAGCUGCUUAACAGUUGUUUGUGCCGAAUACUAUUCAUCUAGAAUGUGGUAGAAAGUUUUGGAAUUAAAUAUGGAGCGGUGGAAUGUGUAGAUAUAUUUAAGAACACCAGAGGCGAAGGCGAAAACUUAGGCCAUUAUUGACGCUUAGGCUUGAAAGUGUGGGUAGCAAAUGGGAUUAGAUACCCCAGUAGUCCACACCGUAAACGAUGGGUAUUAGAUGUCGGGACUUGAGUUUCGGCGUUGUAGCUUACGUGUUAAAUACCCCGCCUGGGUAGUACAUAUGCAAAUAUGAAACUCAAAGGAAUUGACGGGGACCUGAACAAGUGGUGGAACAUGUUGCUUAAUUCGAUAAUACACGAAAAACCUUACCAAGGUUUGACAUCCUCUGCAAAGCUAUAGAAAUAUAGUGGAGGUUAUCAGAGUGACAGGUGGUGCAUGGUUGUCGUCAGCUCGUGUCAUGAGAUGUUUGGUUAAGUCCCGCAACGAGCGCAACCCUACUCUUUAGUUACUUGUCUAAAGAGACUGAACAGUAAUGUAUAGGAAGGAUGGGAUCAC